rnacentral:rRNA from 1 species
UGGGGAAUAUUGCACAAUGGGCGCAAGCCUGAUGCAGCCAUGCCGCGUGUGUGAAGAAGGCCUUCGGGUUGUAAAGCACUUUCAGCGGGGAGGAAGGCGAUAAGGUUAAUAACCUUGUCGAUUGACGUUACCCGCAGAAGAAGCACCGGCUAACUCCGUGCCAGCAGCCGCGGUAAUACGGAGGGUGCAAGCGUUAAUCGGAAUUACUGGGCGUAAAGCGCACGCAGGCGGUCUGUCAAGUCGGAUGUGAAAUCCCCGGGCUCAACCUGGGUACUGCAUCUGAUACUGGCAAGCUUGAGUCUCGUAGAGGGGGGUAGAAUUCCAGGUGUAGCGGUGAAAUGCGUAGAGAUCUGGAGGAAUACCGGUGGCGAAGGCGGCCCCCUGGACGAAGACUGACGCUCAGGUGCGAAAGCGUGGGGAGCAAACAGG